AGUGAACGCUGGCGGUAGGCCUAACACAUGCAAGUCGAACGGCAGCACAGGAGAGCUUGCUCUCUGGGUGGCGUGUGGCGGACGGGUGAGGAAUACAUCGGAAUCUACUCUGUCGUGGGGGAUAACGUAGGGAAACUUACGCUAAUACCGCAUACGACCUACGGGUGAAAGCAGGGGACCUUCGAGCCUUGCGCGAUUGAAUGAGCCGAUGUCGGAUUAGCUAGUUGGCGGGGUAAAGGCCCGCCAAGGCGACGAUCCGUAGCUGGUCUGAGAGGAUGAUCAGCCACACUGGAACUGAGACACGGUCCAGACUCCUACGGGAGGCAGCAGUGGGGAAUAUUGGACAAUGGGCGCAAGCCUGAUCCAGCCAUACCGCGUGGGUGAAGAAGGCCUUCGGGUUGUAAAGCCCUUUUGUUGGGAAAGAAAUCCAGCUGGCUAAUACCCGGUUGGGAUGACGGUACCCAAAGAAUAAGCACCGGCUAACUUCGUGCCAGCAGCCGCCGUAA
rnacentral:rRNA from 1 species